GGGGGUGAUCGGUUUCGACAUUGGUCGGCUUGCCAGGAGAAGCGGGUCGAGAACGCACGGUCAACUCGUUAAUGUCCCGUGCACACCAAUAGGUGCCAAUUCCAAGCGCACCGACUUCGCCCUCGCCGCCUGAGCGAGCCCGAAGUCCGUUGGCCUAUGCAUGAUCUCGGCAUAGUUACCAGCGUCAUCUAGAGAUCUUGCUGCGCGUCGGUGUCGGGACGGCGCGCGGGACUCUUUCUCGACUGGGCCUGUCAGCGAACGUGUGCGCUCGCGCGCUGGGGCCGAGAAAAUCCUUACGCGUACUGCACCCGGAGAAGUCCUGGUCUUCCGUCAGUGGACGCGGGUUCGAUUCCCGCCACCUCCACCA
rnacentral:tmRNA from 1 species